rnacentral:rRNA from 1 species
CGUGAGUGAGAAGGCCUUUGGGUUGUAAAGCUCUUUCAUCGGGGAAGAAGAUGACUGUACCCGUAGAAGAUUGACCGGCUAAUUUCGUGCCAGCAGCCCCC